ACUAGGGGAUAGCCCAGAGAAAUUUGGAUUAAUACCCUAUAGUAUCAUUUAGAGUCAUCUCUUUAUGAUUAAAGGUUACGGUAUGAGAUGAGUAUGCGUUCUAUUAGUUAGUAGGUGAGGUAACGGCUCACCUAGACCACGAUAGAUAGGGGCCCUGAGAGGGGGAUCCCCCACACUGGUACUGAGACACGGACCAGACUCCUACGGGAGGCAGCAGUGAGGAAUAUUAGACAAUGGGCGAAAGCCUGAUCUAGCCAUGCCGCGUGCAGGAUGACGGCCCUAUGGGUUGUAAACUGCUUUUAUACAGGAAGAAAAAACUCUACGUGUAG
rnacentral:rRNA from 1 species